AGAACGAACGCUGGCGGCAUGCCUAAUACAUGCAAGUCGAACGAGAUCUUCGGAUCUAGUGGCGCACGGGUGCGUAACGCGUGGGAAUCUACCCUUGGGUUCGGAAUAACAGUUGGAAACGACUGCUAAUACCGGAUGAUGACGAAAGUCCAAAGAUUUAUCGCCCAGGGAUGAGCCCGCGUAGGAUUAGCUAGUUGGUGAGGUAAAGGCUCACCAAGGCUACGAUCCUUAGCUGGUCUGAGAGGAUGAUCAGCCACACUGGGACUGAGACACGGCCCAGACUCUACGGGAGCAGC
rnacentral:rRNA from 1 species